rnacentral:lncRNA from 1 species
CUUCUAGCGGUUCUAGGAGUUCGUCGGCCUCAGCUCCCCAAAGUCCUUGUAUCGUAGACGAACCCGUAGUUAGGACCGAAUCUCAUCUGGUUUUUGUGCCGGACAGCAUCCCCAGCUCUUUGACUCUGGACGAACUCUCACUGAUAAGGAUUCAGUAUGGAGUUCCUCCGGAGUACGAGUUGGAGCUUCCUGGGCCAACCGAUCGGGCUAGCUCCCCCCUCUCGACUGCUUCUGUCUGUACCAGGAGGCCUUCCAUGCC